CCCGCGCCGCCCGCCCAGCAGCAGCGGCUGCGGAGAGACGACGCGGCGGGCCGCGCGGGCGCGGCCAGCGCCACCCGGGACCCGCCGCCAGCCUACCGCCACGACUACAGGUUGGAACCCAACUACGGCAGCCCGGGGCCGGGCUCGCGGGGGCAGAGCCCUAGCAACUACGCCUGAGCCCGCACCAGAUUAAAAUCCUCUCAGCGCUCCGACCAGUUGAGGUAGCAUUGAAUGUGGUUGCUUUGAGCAACGACCACCAGGGGAGACACCAGUCUACAGUGGACCAUCAGACUUCGAAAGAUUUUCCAUAAAUGUCAAUUUAUCUACAACAAUAUACUCGAGAAAAAAGCACCUAAAUUCAAAUCGUCAUUUUUUACAUAACGAACGUCUCAUCCGUUAGCUAGCUCCAUUUUCAGAAGUGUGUGACCUAACCUGUAUUGGGCUGGUUUUCCCUUCGCGGGUUGGAAGGUCAGACAGGCAGUCGCUUCUGUAAAAAACCGGACCUGUCAAAUCCUCAGGCUAGGUAAAAUAUAAACAGCCUAUAUACCUCCCACUGCUGGGCAACGGCAUCCCUUCAACGAGAGGGAAUAUGGAGUUUACUCCACCACGCUGCUCCACUGCGGGUUGAUGGAAGUGUUAUUAAGUUAUGGAAAAUCAGUCGAAAACUUGCAAAGUAACCUUCAGAGCUACUCGGAGAGGUAAAUAAAUAUUGUACUACAAAGGACGAUGUGUGAGUUUAAUGAUCUCAAUACGAACAUGUAUGGAAGUGUAUGGAGUCAUGCAUUGUAUGGAAAUGUGUGGAGACACACAUUGUAUGGUUACGUUGUGACAAGGAAUUAUUGGUUAGGCUCGUGUUUUGUUGAAGAAACAUUGUAUUGUUGAAACUUUGUAAAAACAAAAUUUAUUAAUUUUAAUGUUUUAUAAUAUAUUUUAAAGUAAUGAUGGGUUCAGAUAAAAUGAUAUAUUAUGUGAUAAUAUAUUAUCGGAUUUGUUUUUAAAUAGACUGAAAUGAAAUAUGUUGCAAUGUGACAUUUUAUGUUUUACUUUACAGCCGAGAGAAUAAAUUUGAAUGUUUUUUUAAUCGUAUGAACAUGUUGAAUUUUAAAAGUUAUUAAAAUUUCACUUUUUAAUAAAUGAAACAAGUCACAUAAUCAUAAAUUCACUUUUGCAACAUGAAAACAUAAAAUGAUCGUUCAGACAGACAGUGAUGUGAACAUAUGUAAAUAUUAUACAUACUAGUUUAAUUAAUAAUUGUACUAUACAUAGGACUGGCGUCUAUUCAUACACACAUUAAUCCAAAUACAAAAGUUGUAACCUAAUCAUUAUAAAAUAUAUCGAUUUUAGUUCGUUAUAGAUCACGCUAGAUGUCGCUGUACAGAAUUAAAAUUAUAUUUAUUAUAAUGCUUAAGUUACAAACUAGACACAUUGCAUAUUUAAAAAAAAAACAUGAUCUUGUAUGGAAAUUUCCAUACAGAGUUUUGACUGAAAGUUACUUUUUUUUUUCAAAUAAAAUUGUUAGAAAAGAUCUCUUACAAAACACUGCCGUUAACAUAAAUACGAAUAUAGGGUGGUGUACGAAAGUUUGUGAUAUUUGUUUUGAGACUAUAAAUGUAAAGGACUUAAUAAAAUAAUAAAAAAAUAAACGUUAUUUUAGAGAGAGGUUUCAAUCUUCCGACGACAAAACCGGCCGGGUCUGCAUGACAACCGCGCCGCGCGCGGCGCGAAUUAUAUCGAGCGCUUCGAGCAUUAAAGGAUACGAAUGUUAUCUACGCAGAUGGACGUCAAACAGCUAUUGGUCGAAGGCCUCGAUAUAAUUCGCGCCGCGCGCGGCGCGGUCGCCGUGCAGAGCCUACUGUUAUGCCCAAAAGUGACAGCUAACAUUUCAAGGUUAGCCCAGCUGACGUCAUCCCGUCCUGUGUUGCCAUUUCGUAAAAAAUAAAUUACCCACGACCAAUGUUUUUAUAAUUACUUUGCAAGGAAAUUUUGAACUUUUAGUAAAAGAUUUACUUAGUUUUAAUGAUGUUUAUAUUGUGACAAGUAGUAGUAAUUAAAUACAUUAGUCAGUAAUUCACUUAAUUGUCAAUGAUAAAAUUUACGUCCUUGGAAUGUUGGAGAUACCAAUUUAAUGGUAACACAGUGGUAACACUUACGUCAUCAAUGGGCUAGCAAUGGCGGCUUGUCAUAGGAUUGAGCAUACCUGGUCUUCUUAUACCAUGGUGAACCUAAUCUAAUCCUAGUCAAUCUAUAAAAAAAUCGUGUCCUAACAGAUCUCCAGUGUGUUUGUCACGAAAUAAAAUCAUAAUAUUCAAUGUAAUCAAACAUUUAGUUAUUAUAGAAUAGACGCCAGUAAUUGUAAAAUAUACGUCAUAUAAAUAAAUAAAUAAAGUAAUAUGGAACAUAUGUCUACCGGUGUCCGGUACGUGCUGCCCGCGACAGCGACCGCGCGACACAGACCACCGGUAACCGUAGCAUGGAAUGCGCGAUAAAUGAAACAACGAUAUUGUCAAAUGAACCGUUUCUAUUGGCUCAAAUUACUGUUGCCUGUCGAUAGUUAUAUAUCGAUAUAUGCGGGAUCCAUGCUACUGGGCGGUGCGUCGUGAUAUGUCGCAUAGUUAUCGUUUUAAGGCGAACUGUGAAUGCGGUUCAGCUCACGUAUGUUGUAAGUACAGAGAGGUUUGAGGUUUUUUUUGACGUGACUUAUUAACGAUUAAACGAACUUACCCAAGUGAAGUUCCAUCACAAUGAAACAAUUUCAGGCUACGUUCACGAAAAACAAUAUAGAUAGCGCUGUACAGUGUUGGCUCGUUUAACCUUCUAAUUUCAUGGACAGACAUAUGCAUCUUUUAUCUUUGUUUUUUGUGUAUAAAUGAUGACCCUUUUUAUUACACCAAGGUACAAUUACAACUUCCACCCAUUAUUAUUCUGAUCAAAAUAAAGAGAAGCAAUAUAGGUAGCAACAUCAUUCUAUAUUAUAAUGUGAUCCAAAUAUCAAGCAACAAUUAGUUUUAUAUAUGCUUCUGCCAUUACAUUACAUUUUUAAAUAAUUAUGUACCCCAGCAAUGAGAAAAUAGGUAAUUAUCACGUUAGAAGUGAACAACGCCAUCUAUCGUGUGUUUUGGGAACGUCGAUUGGAAAGUCCCUUAAUGGCCCCGAUUCCUGCAGACACCUCCUAAUUUUAUUUUAGUUAUACCCGUCACUUUUUUUAUCCGCCGAAAUAUUGUUUCUCUUUAUUUUGAUCAGAAUAAUAAUGGAUGGAUAAUUGUACCUUGUUGUAAUAAAAAGUAUCAUCAUUUAUACCCAAAAACAAAGAUAAAAGAUGCAUACUAUGUCUGUUAUCCAUGAAAUUAGAAUUCGCUAUAUAAACAAAACACUUAAAGAAGCACUUUUCUUUAUGAUAAUAGCAAUUUCUUGAAUCAAUUUAUCAGUACAGUAAAGUGGAAAAAUAUUCCCCCUAGUAGCUAUAUCUGGAUAAAUAUUCCAUUCUUCCUGCCAGUAGGGAUAUGUGGAACAGGGGGAAGAAAAAACUUAACAACAACACCUAUCGUAUUUUUUGGGAACGCCGAGUCCCGCAUUACUCCUCUGUGCUUACAAGGUACAGCUGUCACGCAAAUUAAACAAAUCUGAAUAAGUAUGUAACUACGAUACUGCCAUUUGAUCGCGAUGUAUAUAAUAUAUACUAACAUAAAUACAUAAUUAGUCGACCAGCGUGCAGCUCGGCUCAGUUCUUGUGGAACUGACUUCUUGCCACGGGGUAUGGGGUUCGGGUUUGUGUUAUACAAUGUCCGGGCGUGUUUGCAAGUGAAAUUGAUUACACCAGCUCACGAGUCUUUAAAGCGAAUAUACAUACGUGUAGUCACGCCUGUAAUCCCUAAAGGGGUGCGCAGAGCUACAAGUAUUCAGAGAUUUGCAGUCACUGUUGAUACGAAGGCUUAAGAUGGAUAUGAUGGACCUUAUGGUGACCUAUCGCCAGUAUCAAUUCUCCACCAUGUUGGACAAAAUCCCUCUGUCGGUUUUCACGACAUACCCGAGAAGACAACGAGUGGACGGAUUAGCAAGUGGACAGGAUACGUACAGUUCAUGACAUAACGAUAACCUCUUGUAUACACCGACCAAUGAAUGCCAAAAUACCAAAAAAGCCACGGAGGGCUACAGAUCGUGAGCCUAACGCUUUAACCACUAGACCACGGAGGCUGACCAUGUAAUAUUUUACUCGCAAACACGACCACGAGCUGCCAAGACUGAAUUCUACCCUAGAUUUUAUUUUACAUUGUACUGUAUUGAGUGGCGCGGGUCCUGUUGUUCCUGCAAACAUAAUGUUCUAUCGUGUGGGUUGUGAGGUGGAUUACCAACCUCACCAACCCUGGUGUCAGGGUUACUAUUGAGCCGCCAACGGCCCCUGACAUGAUCGUAUAACGACUGCAUAUAUGAAAAUGCUGUUUUGUUUACAAAGCAUAAAUUGGUGCUAAUUCCUGCAGACGCCGUCUAAUUUUAUUUUAUAUUACACCUGUCGUUUUCUUGUCCGCCGAUAAGGAAAGGGACGGAUAUUUGACAACUGCUAAUUUUAGGAAGAAGAGGGCGAGUAAAAUAGGCAUCUCGCUUAUAUGCAACCCGCUUGACACGUGUUGUCAACCUAAUUCUGUCGGGUUAUUGGCCAAUAUACAAUUUUGGAAGGCGUUUUUAAAAUUCUGCCUAAAAUUGACGUGUGUUCUAUAAAUUUUAUGUAUGUCGAUUACCCGUCCCUUUCUUUUACAGGGGGUAAGAAAAUGACAGGUAUAACUUAAAAUUAGAUUAUGUGUUUUAAUUAACAUCUUGUACUACUUAAAGUAACACUUAAAAUGUUGGAAAAUUCUAGUCUUUCCACAACAGGACUCGUGACGCAACCAACCAUAGCUGAAGGGAAGUAAACCUUAUUGUAUGAUACGCUCGGUUCAUGUUCGAGCGACGAUAGGAUAAGUCUGUGCCGACUGACGGAACCACCAUAAACGCUGUUUCAAUUAUAUUUGUGUUGCAAUUUUACUAUGGCAAUGUCACACCACAAACGCUCCAUCAUCAUCACCAGCCCAAUAACGUCCCCACUGCUGGGGCACGGGCCUUCCCUAUGGAUGGAUAGGGAGAUCGGGCCUUAAACCAUCACGCGGGCCCAGUGCAGAUUGAUGGUUAUUAACGACUGCUAAUGCAGCCGGGACCAACGGCUUAACGUGCCUUCCGAAGCACGGAGCGAGAUGAAAACUUUUUUAUUUGUGGUCACCCAGGCGGCCGAUACGCAUUGGUGCGGGGUGCGGGGAGUGACCGUUGUAUACGGAGUUAUUGUUCAUUCAAUGGAAAUGCUGCCGAUUCUGUCAAAUUGAUUAUAAUUACACAAUGCAAGUAAAAUUGUAACACAGAUUAUUGAAAUAGAGAUAUAAAGGUGCUAAUUCCUGCAGACGCCGUCUAAUUUUAUUCUAAGUUAUACCUGUCACUUUCUUAUCCACCGAAAAGGAAAGGGACGGAUGAUUGACAGCUCUUAAUUUUAGGAAGAAUGAGUAAAUUAAUGGAUAACCCGGAAAAUCUAAAAAGUAUCUCGCUGGUAGUUUUGUAAAUUUCUGCCUAAAAUUGACGUGUGUUCCAUAAAUUUUAUGCUUGUCGAUUACCCGUCCCUUUAAAGUAAAAUUAGGAGGUGUCUGCAGGAAUCGGGGCCAAAUUUUUAUUAAAAUUAUUGUAUAAUUUGUUAUGUUUUAAACAAUUCCAAAAUUACUUUAAACCGAAUGACCGUAAAUUUUCGGUAUAAAGCCAUCGGUUGUUCGGUAGUAGUCAUGGACCUAGUGUGGACCUGUAUAAUCGUUGACCUAUUAAUAAAUCUGUAAUUAUUAUAAUGGACCUAUUAAUAGAUCGAUGGUUACAGUAUUUAUUGGUCAGUGGUUGUCAUCGCUGACCUAUUAAUAGGUCAGUGGUUAUAAUAGUUGACCUACAAAUAGGUCAGUUGGUUGUUUGAAGAACUGUGUUCGGAGAAGUUGGUCGGUCGUUGUUGAGCAAAUAUUAUGUAUAAAUAAAAUAUUUAUUCACA